GGACACUUGGAGGGGAGAAAACUCAAGGGAGGGACUGAUUUCCCAGAGGACAAUCCAUUUUCCAGUGACCCUACUGUCCACAGUUGGGACAUGGCCUUGUAGGAAGCCCGAGAAAAGGGCAAGCUUUUGUUUAGUGGCCCAGAUUGCUGUAGUGAACCGUCCCUAGCAAGGAGAAGGAAACAAGAGGAUAAGAUCAGUAUUUGAGAAAGAAAGAUGAAGGCAAACAGGCCCCUCAACACCUGCUACCUCAUGGAGGGGCUGAUCCAACAUCCUGAUUUCUGAGAAGACAUAAAUCAGUCCAGAGCAACCGAGGACACAGAUUCUCCCCUGAAGCAUCUAAGAGGAAUGGAGCCUUGC
ensembl:lncRNA